AUGAGGGGACGAUGGCAUUUAUUUGUCAUGUUUCUCGUGCCCUCUUGCUCCCCUCCCCUGUAUCUCUGCAGGUUGCGAUUUUUGGACGGACACCGAAAAGAGUCUCUUCAGUGCAGCUCUGAGGACACACGGGAAAGACUUCUCCCUCAUAAAAAAGACGGUGAGGACAAAGACAGUGUCCCAGUGCGUGGAGUUUUUCUACCUGAGCCAAAAGCUCACGGGCAAACAGAAGAAACAAAAGGAGGACGAGCGCAGAGACGCACAGGAGGAGCUGCAAACAUGCAAGUCAUCCCACUCUCAGCCGUUAAAAAGACCCUAUACGCUGGAGGAGGCGGUUUCUGUCCCCCCGCUGGCCAGCUUCUUCCCCUGCAAACUGUGUGGAAAGUGAGUAAAAAGCAUGUUUAUUAAAAGAGGCUGCCAACACUAACUCACUGUCCCCAGGGCAAGCCAACAGAUGGUUUAGAUUGCCAAGGCUUUUUUUUUUCAUCUGU
rnacentral:lncRNA from 1 species